rnacentral:rRNA from 1 species
GACGAACGCUGGCGGCGUGCUUAACACAUGCAAGUCGAACGCUGAAGCUCAGCUUUUGUUGGGUGGAUGAGUGGCGAACGGGUGAGUAACACGUGAGUAACCUGCCCCCUUCUUUGGGAUAACGCCCGGAAACGGGUGCUAAUACUGGAUAUUCACUGGUCUUCGCAUGGGGGUUGGUGGAAAGGGUUUUUCUGGUGGGGGAUGGGCUCGCAGCCUAUCAGCUUGUUGGUGGGGUGAUGGCCUACCAAGGCUUUGACGGGUAGCCGGCCUGAGAGGGUGACCGGUCACAUUGGGACUGAGAUACGGCCCAGACUACUGCGGGAGGCAGCAGUGGGGACUAUUGCACAAUGGGCGCAAGACUGAUGCAGCGACGCCGCGUGAGGGAUGGAGGCCGUCGGGUUGUGAACCUCUUUCGCUCAUGGUCAAGCCGCAACAAUGGUUGUGGUGAGGGUAGUGGGUAAAGAAGCGCCGGCUAACUACGUG